UACGAAGGGGGCUAGCGUUGCUCGGAAUCACUGGGCGUAAAGGGCGCGUAGGCGGAUCUUUUAAGUCGGGGGUGAAAGCCCAGGGCUCAACCCUGGAAUGGCCUCGAUACUGGAGAUCUUGAGACCGGAAGAGGUAAGUGGAACUGCGAGUGUAGAGGUGAAAUUCGUAGAUAUUCGCAAGAACACCAGUGGCGAAGGCGGCUCACUGGCCCGAUACUGACGCUGAGGCACGAAAGCGUGGGGAGCGAACAGGG
rnacentral:rRNA from 1 species